UACGUAGGGGGCAAGCGUUGUCCGGAUUUAUUGGGCGUAAAGCGCUCGCAGGUGGUCCGAUGCGUCGUGCGUGAAAGCCCCCGGCUCAACUGGGGAGGGUCACGCGAUACUGAUCGACUCGAAGGCAGGAGAGGGUAGUGGAAUUCCCGGUGUAGUGGUGAAAUGCGUAGAUAUCGGGAGGAACACCAGUGGCGAAGGCGGCAUCCUGGACCGAGAUUGACGCUGAUGAGCGAAAGCUAGGGGAGCAAACGGG
rnacentral:rRNA from 1 species